rfam:Anolis carolinensis chromosome Tnknown cont2.32197, whole genome shotgun sequence.
UGAGGCCGUUACCUACAGCUGAUGAGCUCCAAAAAGAGCGAAACCUGUUAAAAUAGGUCCUGUAGUAUUGGCCGACUGAGCCG